UUGGGUUUCUUCGGGUAAAGUUGAAAAAUGUCGAGAGGUAGGAUCCAAAGAAAAGAAGAAAAUCUUUCUCACGAAAGAUCCAAGCGCGAUCCUUUGUGUUUCCAACUUUUGUCCGUCCUUAGGUAGCGGAGGUAGCCUCGAGUUUUCAUCUACCUAUAUAUACCUAUAUAUAUUCACGUACUCUGACACCUACGUAUGCAUAUGUACAUUGAUGAGAACGUGUGCCAUGUGAGCUCGUUUGCCAGCUCAAGGUUGACAAAGAACUAAAACCGUAUCGUCUGACUUUUCACAAUUCGUACAGUUACAAAUUUUACGCUGCCAUCGGUAUUACCGUCCUUAGUCUUUCACAGAGCUUGAGUCAGAAACGCGCUAGGAGUUUGUUUGCUUUGGUAUGUCCAAAUUAUAAGAAAACCAAACGGUUUCUAAAGGGUAUAACAGUUAUGUAUAAUAUUCAAUGAUACUCUGUGACGUAGAAAAAAUAGAAUCCCUUUGAUAUUUUCUUGCUUUCCUCUAUUUGCAGUACUGUGACGUUCUUGUGGUUACCUUGGGAGUCGUGAGAGUGAUUCAUACAUAGAAUGCGCGCAGGUGGUGAGAAUAGGUAGACACCAGCCAGUGGUUAUCGUUUCCGCAAAGCAGUGACGUUAUGGAAUUCCUUUCUUAGGGCAUAGACAAUCUGUAUGAUUUUCAAUAAUAAUCUGAUUCACCAAAGAUUGCUCACGAUGAUGGUGAAUAAAUGAUAAUUAGUUCUUGCAAAUUCGCCAGUUGAUAUGACGACCGAAAUUGGAUAGGCGAGUCUGGUUUAAUAAAUGUUUGUUGAUUUGACUCUUAUCAAACGGAUGGAUAAUCUUCAUGUAUCUGUCGCCGUUUCACUUGGCAAUAACGGAAUUCUGAGGAUGGAUACUGAAUUUAAACGAAUACUUAGUAUUCCUGGGACAUUUGUAAUGUCUUUUGUAUGCUUGGAUUUGCUUGUAAUGGGGCGGAAUUUAUAAUUUUUUGAAGUUAUAAUUCUUGUCUGUUGUGAGUUUCACUUUUUGAAUAAAUGACUUUUUGAAGAA